CUUUAGACUACACGGCUUCACGCUCACAUAAACCCUAAGUUUCCUUCAUCUCCGGCCGCCGCUCAACCCUUCACCUUCACAGUUCACUUCAGUCGCCGCCGCUCAACCCUUCACAGUCACUUCAGUCGCCAGCGCCGCUCACCUUCAUCGCCGGCCGCCGCUAAUUCGCUGCUCAACUUCAUCGCUGAUUCGCUGCUCACCUUCAUCGCCGGCCGCCGCUCAACCCCUUCACAGUUAAGUCAUGAGUGAUUCACAAAAUAAAGUGGAGAAAAAGAAGGGCAAAACCCUGGUUUCAUUAAACAACAGGUUCCUUGAUUGCUAAUUUCAAAUAUGGAAUAAUAGGUCAUUUUCGUGUCUUAACAGGUCGUGUUCGGGUCUUAACACGUCGUGUUUGUGUCUUAAACAGGUCAUAUGAUAUGUUGGCAACAUUUUCGUGUCUUAACAGGUCAUUUCGUGUAACCUGUUUAUUAACAGGUUCGUGUUCGUGUUUGGAAAAUCUGACACGAUAAGAUUUCGUGUCGUGUUCGUGUUUACAGGUUUCGUGUUUGUGUCUUAUCGUGUUCGUGUCUUAACAGAUUGGGUUGACCCGAUAUGCCAGCCCUACGUUUUAUGUAAAACUUAACAAACCCAUCGGUUUGAUUAUUUUUG